rnacentral:lncRNA from 1 species
UUUUUAAUCAAAAAAUAUAACCCACCACUUAAAAACCCUUCGUAUAACCCCCAUAAUUGUGCUCUUUAGAGCAGGUUUAAUGCAGUAGCUUAAGGCUGUUGCUUAAGGUUAAUUACAAUUUAAAAAAAAAAGAAAAAAGAAAAAAAAACGAACAGACGUUGCUUAAUUAAGCACGGGAAGCGUCGUCCCUAAACGAGCACGUGUCGCUAAGGAAUUGGCUUGAGGAGAGGUGUCGUUGGCUUCCGUCGCGUUUCUUCUUUUCUUUCUCUCUCUCUCUCCUCUCUCUCUUUCUCUCUGUGGCGAAAGGCGAUAUCUCUGCGAUCGGUGGCUCUGUUCGUUGAAACGGCGGCGUCUCUCUCGUUUGCUGUCGUCGUCGAAGGCGAACGACGUCCCCUGUAUCUGUUGCUCUCCUCCACGAAGGAACACGGCGAGAUCUCUCUCUGGUUCUUUCCUCUCCGAGGCGAAAGGCGGAUUUUUCCCGAUCGGUGGCUCUGUGUAGAUUGCUAUUGGAUGAAUCAUUGCUAAUUGGAUGAAUCAUUGCUAAUUAUAUUUUCUGAGUGUUGUAUUAUUUCUCAAGAGAGUGGAGAGGUCACGAGUUGAGAGUGGAGAGUUAUAUAACUAGAGAUCACACUUGUAGUAUCUCUCUCUUGUAAACGUUCUAUCAUUCUCAUGUUCUCUUGCACUCAUAAUAUCAAUUUUCAUCACUCAUAAUUUCAAUUCUCAUCACACUUGUAGUAUCUCAAUUUUUAUUGUUAAGCACCUUAAGUCAAGCACUACCAAUAACCCCCUACAAUUAAGUGUUUCUUAGAUUAUCUCUUAGCUAAAUUUUAAUACUUAAAAAUCAUUAACAACCACUUAAGCAACACUAAAGGUUGCUAGCAAUAA